rnacentral:rRNA from 1 species
CUCGUUGUUGGCAAUAUAUCGUCAGCGACUGAGCGAAAGCAUUAAGUAAUCCACCUGGGGAGUACGUCAGCAAUGAUGAAACUCAAAGGAAUUGACGGGGGCCCGCACAAGCGGAGGAACAUGUGGUUUAAUUCGAUGAUACGCGAGGAACCUUACCUGGGCUUAAAUGUAGAGUGCAUGAGGUGGAAACAUCUCUUUCCUUCGGGACUCUUUACAAGGUGCUGCAUGGUUGUCGUCAGCUCGUGCCGUGAGGUGUCGGGUUAAGUCCCAUAACGAGCGCAACCCUCAUCGCCAGUUGCCAUCACGUAAUGGUGGGGACUCUGGUGAAACUGCCGGUGCAAACCGUGAGGAAGGUGAGGAUGACGUCAAAUCAGCACGGCCCUUAUGUCCAGGGCUACACACGUGUUACAAUGGCCGGUACAACGGGCAGCUACCACGCAAGUGGAUGCUAAUCCCCAAAACCGGUCUUAGUUCGGAUCGGAGUCUGCAACUCGACUCCGUGAAGCUGGAUUCGCUAGUAAUCGCACAUCAGCCAUGGUGCGGUGAAUACGUUCCCGGGCCUUGUACACACCGCCCGUCAAGCCAUGGAAGCCGGGGGUGCCUGAAGUCCGUAACCGCAAGGAGCGGCCUAGGGUAAAACCGGUAACUGGGGCUAAGUCGUAACAAGGUAACCAAGGGCGAA